ensembl:lncRNA
AUCCACGAGGUAUUUGCUUAGACAUUUAGAAAAUGUCUUUAAGAUGUUUGUGAUUUAAAAUGUAAGAGACAUUUAUCAGAUGUUUGUACACAGCAGAUGCUUUCCAGACAAACCUUCUCAAAAAGACAUCUUGGAGACCAUCCAGGCUGAAAGUGUUUAAAAACUACAUUUUUACAUACAUUCUAAAUCAUAAACAUCUUAAAAACAUUUUAGAAAUGACUAUUUAACAUCUGACAAGAAACGCCUCAUCAGCCUGAUUUGGACGGUUAUUAUUUCUCAUGGGGACAUAAGCGAUUUUCAACAUUUACAGGGAACCUUCACUCUCUCUGUUCCUCUCUGGUGGAUUGAGCUGCCAACUUCCACCUGAUCUGCUGAGACAUCACAACGUUCAAUGAAGAGCUGAAGACAUCUCUUUCCUUUCUUCUCUACAUUUCACCACUGGUCUAGCUUGUUUACUCAAAUUUUUAUUUAAACUGGAAUUUUCUAAAAUAUUGAAAUAAAAGGUGAAGACUUUUUGUGGUCUAAACCAGAGGUUUUUAAACCUGUACUGGAGGCCCUCCAGUACCACACAUUUUGUAUGUCUCCCUUAUCACACCCAAUUCAGGUCUUUUAGUCUCAACUAAUAAGCUGAUGAGUUGAAUCUGGUGUGUUAGCUGAGGGAGACAUUUAAAAUGUGCAGUUCUGGGAGUGUUUCUGGGGCAGGCUUAAAACCCCUGGUCUAAGCUUCUAUAAGAUACCUGUAGCUCCCAGUAGUACAUAUGCAAAUUCUAAAAUAUAAUACAAGUUUCAUAAAGUAAGAAAUUUUCUUGGAUUUGGGUCUUGGACUGUGUCAGUGUAACCCCCACCCUGGGUCCUGCUUGCACCCGCUCCGAAUGGGACUUGACCCCGGGAUGCCAGCAUAGGAGGCGGGCACACUAACAAGGAAGCUAAAGACUGCAGCCCCUAGAAUCAGUUGCUAGUGCGCCUCUUGAGAUCAGGGAAGUGAGGUUUACCUGCACAGCACCUGCCAACUGGCCUGUGUUACAUCAGCUUCUUGAUUCCGGGAUUUCAGCAUGUUGUGAUGCUGAACAAUGCUGAACAUUGUGAGCCCUGUUUAACGCAUAAUAUUUAACGCAUAUUUGAUACUAGCAUCGAGUAGUACAGGGAGGAUUCAGAUAGACCUCAGAUAGAUUAUACUGGCACAGUUUUCAGUAAAUAUGAAGCAAGAUCACAUGAUUUAUAGACAGACUGAGGUAAAAGACAAGGGGUCUGAAGGCC